rnacentral:rRNA from 1 species
AUGACAGUACUUCAAAGAGAAGUAAUUAUAAUAAAUUGUUCCUUCAUGUUUUUUUCCCAGAAAGUAGCCUCCAUGCUUCUUAAAUCUGGGUACUGUUUUGUACAGAAGCUUUCAUCUAUAGAGAAGCACAUCUGUUUCAGGUACAUACUAUUAAAACUUAUGAGCAAGUUUGCUGCAAUGAUGUUCCACAUAUAUGGUUUGCAGCUCUAUCAAUUAAAUUUGGUGCCAACUUUUUGUACAAUUCUGCGACUUAUAGUUUCACCCAACUAUUAUGUGAUGAAUUUAGAGGGAUGGAGGUAA